rnacentral:lncRNA from 1 species
UCAGUUCCCUGAUCUUUACAUAGGAAAUCAUUUUUUCUUCCCCGCAGUCCAUCCAAUUUUUUCCCUUCCUUCCUGUUAGUAACUCUUACCUGUUUUCUUGGAUAUGAAGGAGGCUAUCGCAGAUCAAGAGAAGGCCCUGUUGUAAUUACAUUUGAAGGAAAGGUAAAGACCUCUUGAUGAAGAUGUCACAUCAGUUUUGAAGCAUUUUCUUUUUUCAUCAACUUGAAUAGAAUAUGUUGUGUUGCUGUAGGAUCUAUCAAGAAUAGAAGCUGCUUCUCAGUCAUUGUGCCAGAAAUUUCACGCCGGUGCAUUCUCUGAAAUUGAGUGACAUGCAUUUUCCACUGUUUCCAAUCAUCAUCCUUCUUGGCUUGCAUAUCCAAGUUAUAUUUGCCUAAAAUGGCCUCUAAAUCUUGGACUUACAAAUGCCAAAAAGGAGAUUGAAGGUUUAAUGACUUCCCCGGAACAAUGAAGGAGAAGGAUGGGCUCACCAGAAAGAAAAGAAAAAGGAUCAAGAGGAAAAUAAUUUGCUCGAAAAUGAAAGAGAAAGGAGUAGCUUUGUUUCAGCUCGUCGACUGCAACUCUAAUGCCAAUAUUAACUAUUUCUUUCAUACAGUUUAAGACACAAUUACUUAAAGCUU